GGGCCCGCACAAGCGGUGGAGCAUGUGGUUUAAUUCGAUGAUACGCGAGGAACCUUACCAGGGCUUAAAUGUAGUGGGACAGGUCUAGAGAUAGACCCUUCUUCGGACUCAUUACAAGGUGCUGCAUGGUUGUCGUCAGCUCGUGCCGUGAGGUGUCAGGUUAAGUCCUAUAACGAGCGCAACCCCUAUCGUUAGUUGCCAGCACAUUAUGGUGGGAACUCUAAGGAGACUGCCGGUGACAAACCGGAGGAAGGUGGGGGACGACGUCAAGUCAUCAUGGCCCUUACGGCCUGGGCUACACACGUGCUACAAUGGCUAGGACAGACGGCCGCAAACCCGCAGGGGGAGCCAA
rnacentral:rRNA from 1 species